rnacentral:rRNA from 1 species
GACGAACGCUGGCGGCGUGCUUAACACAUGCAAGUCGAACGGAAAGGCCCUGCUUUUGUGGGGUGCUCGAGUGGCGAACGGGUGAGUAACACGUGAGUAUCAUGCCCUUGACUUUGGGAUAACUUCAGGAAACUGGGGCUACUACCGGAUAGGAGCUCCUGCUGCAUGGUGGGGGUUGGAAAGUUUCGGCGGUGGGGGAUGGACUCGCGGCUUAUCAGCUUGUUGGUGGGGUAGUGGCUUACCAAGGCUUUGACGGGUAGCCGGCCUGAGAGGCUGCCCGGACACGUUGAGACUGAAGUCAGGCGCAGACUUGUGUGGGAGGCAGUAGGCGGGAAUAGUGCACUACCGGCGGAAGCAUGAUGCAGCAACUCCGCGUCCGGGAGGAUGGCCUUCGGGGUGUAAACCGCUUUCGCCUGUGACGAAGCGUGAGUGACGGUAAUGGGUAAAGAAGCACCGGCUAACUACGUG